rnacentral:rRNA from 1 species
GACGAACGCUGGCGGCGUGCUUAACACAUGCAAGUCGAACGGAAAGGCCCUGCUUUUGUGGGGUGCUCGAGUGGCGAACGGGUGAGUAACACGUGAGUAACCUGCCCUUGACUUUGGGAUAACUUCAGGAAACUGGGGCUAAUACCGGAUAGGAGCUCCUGCUGCAUGGUGGGGGUUGGAAAGUUUCGGCGGUUGGGGAUGGACUCGCGGCUUAUCAGCUUGUUGGUGGGGUAGUGGCUUACCAAGGCUUUGACGGGUAGCCGGCCUGAGAGGGUGACCGGCCACAUUGGGACUGAGAUACGGCCCAGACUCCUACGGGAGGCAGCAGUGGGGAAUAUUGCACAAUGGGCGGAAGCCUGAUGCAGCAACGCCGCGUGCGGGAUGACGGCCUUCGGGUUGUAAACCGCUUUCGCCUGUGACGAAGCGUGAGUGACGGUAAUGGGUAAAGAAGCACCGGCUAACUACGUGCCAGCAGCCGCGGUGAUACGUAGGGUGCGAGCGUUGUCCGGAUUUAUUGGGCGUAAAGGGCUCGUAGGUGGUUGAUCGCGUCGGAAGUGUAAUCUUGGGGCUUAACCCUGAGCGUGCUUUCGAUACGGGUUGACUUGAGGAAGGUAGGGGAGAAUGGAAUUCCUGGUGGAGCGGUGGAAUGCGCGGAUAUCAGGAGGAACACCAGUGGCGAAGGCGGUUCUCUGGGCCUUUCCUGACGCUGAGGAGCGAAAGCGUGGGGAGCGAACAGGCUUAGAUACCCUGGUAGUCCACGCUGUAAACGGUGGGUACUAGGUGUGGGGUCCAUUCCACGGGUUCCGUGCCGUAGCUAACGCUUUAAGUACCCCGCCUGGGGAGUACGGCCGCAAGGCUAAAACUCAAAGGAAUUGACGGGGCCCCGCACAAGCGGCGGAGCAUGCGGAUUAAUUCGAUGCAACGCGUAGAACCUUACCUGGGUUUGACAUGGAUCGGGAGUGCUCAGAGAUGGGUGUGCCUCUUUUGGGGUCGGUUCACAGGUGGUGCAUGGCUGUCGUCAGCUCGUGUCGUGAGAUGUUGGGUUAAGUCCCGCAACGAGCGCAACCCUUGUUCACUGUUGCCAGCACGUUAUGGUGGGGACUCAGUGGAGACCGCCGGGGUCAACUCGGAGGAAGGUGGGGAUGACGUCAAGUCAUCAUGCCCCUUAUGUCCAGGGCUUCACGCAUGCUACAAUGGCUGGUACAGAGAGUGGCGAGCCUGUGAGGGUGAACGAAUCUCGGAAAGCCGGUCUCAGUUCGGAUUGGGGUCUGCAACUCGACCCCAUGAAGUCGGAGUCGCUAGUAAUCGCAGAUCAGCAACGCUGCGGUGAAUACGUUCCCGGGCCU